AACGCACCUUGCGCCCUUUGGUAUUCCGAAGGGCAUGCCUGUUUGAGUGUCAUUAAAUUCUCAACCUUCAACCGGUUUGCGCUGGUUUUGAAGGCUUGGAUGUGAGGGCUUUGCUGGCUUCCUUUAGUGGCGGUCUGCUCCCUUUAAAUGCAUUAGUGGGUUUCAGUUUUGUGAAACGCUUCACUUUGGUGUGAUAAUUGUCAUCGCCGUUUUUGAAUGCGAAGUAGCAAGCAAUCUAAUGAAACUUGCUUAUAACCGUCCGCAAGGACAAUUACUUUGACCAUUUGACCUCAAAUCAGGUAGGACUACCCGCUGAACUUAA
rnacentral:misc_RNA from 1 species